UGAUGGGUGGGGCUGGGUACCCUCCCUGUUGGUUCUUUGGCCUGAGGCAACCCAACACUGGAGCCUACCUGGGCUCUUUGGUGGGGCUAAUGGCGGACUCUGGGAGGGCUCAUGCCAAGAAGUACUUCCUAGAACUUCUGCUGCCAGUGUCCUUGUCCUCACGGUGAGCCACAGCCACCCCCCGCCUCUGCAGGAGAUCCUCCAACACUAGCAGAUCAGAAAUUAUUUUCCCUCUUGGAUCCUGUUCGUACAUCUUAGGAGAGGAACAAAGAACAAACAUCGGCUCUGGGACAGACUACCUGGGUUUAAAGCUGGGCCCUACACCUUCUCAGCCACAGGACCUGGGCAAGCUCUUCAGUCUCCAUGCCUCUGUUUCCUUAUCGAUAAGAUGGGAGAAUGACUGUAACUCUCACUGGGCUGUGAAGAUUCAGUUAAACUACUUAUAAUAGUAUCUGGCACACAGUAAGGAUGAUAAUGGUGAUGAUGGUUAAACUUGUUUUCAAUCCACUGCCUAAGUGAACAGUAUAUAAAGAAAAGUAAAUAUCGUGCCAUUUGAAAGUAAUCACUGACAUAGCUGUAUUUCUUCACCGAAGUCACAUUUUGAACUCUUAAAGGUCUGGGCAAUAUGUAAAGUGAAAGGGGAAAGAUUGUUGUAUCUUCUAAGAAAAUCUCCAGCAACAAAAGCUUAUCCCUCUGUUUAAUCAUACAUCAGUUGAGAAUUUUUUGAAACAGCCCUCCCCCGCCCUGUAAAGAAGGUUACAAUGAUCCCUAUGGUUCUGGAUUAAGGUCAGAGUUAUCAAUAUGAACUUAUGUUUAUCUUAAUAUAGAUACAAAUGGAUACUUACAGAAAUAAUUAUAGAUAGGUGUGUAUGUAUGCUCCUGUUAGCAUACAUACAUAUACUUCCCAGCUCUGUUCACCCAGAGGGCCUAGACUCAAUGACACCCCAGUAGCAACGAGCACACCAAGCCCAGAUCUUGGUUUCUAAAUACCCUUCUCCAGUAAAAGGAAUGAGGGCUGCCUGGAGAAAUGGCUGAGUCUAGGGUUGUAGCCUAAACCGUCCAAGAUGGGCCUGGAACAUCUUAUUGUGUCAGAAAGUAAGGAAGUACUCAAAACCCAAAAUGAUGCGUACAUGUUAAAGGGACACAGGUGCCGAAAGAAAGAGCUCCCAGCGGCCAAAGUGGGAGCAAUUUGGGUAACAAAUUAAAUGACACAAUACUGCAUUAUAACUUAAAGUAUAAAAUAAAUAUCCAUACGUCCACACUGAUAUAAGUAAAUGACUGAAUAAAUAAAAUGGGGGUGAGACAAAUUUCAUCAGCAGAAGAAUUACAAAUAAUUUAUGUAGGGACUCCUCCCUCGAGGCAGCGGAGGACAAUCAUUACCCCUUGAGUGAGGGCUGGGAACAGGGGCUGCCUUCCAAACAGCAUGGUAAGCAAAGCCGGGGAGGGUAACUUUACAGUCACCACCUCAGCCAGGUGAUCAAGGUCAGUAUCAUCAGGGAUGACAAAUCAUGUUGAUAACAUGAACCCCUGCUAUGCUUAAUUAAUAAUAAAGUAAUGAAAAGAGCACUUCACCCCUGUGGUCUUCCUCCCUCCCUAAAACACAAACCCUCAGUCUAAUCAUGAGAAACACAUCAGGCAAACCCCAACUGAGAGACAGUCUCCAAAAUAUCUGACUAGUACUAAAAACUGUCAAGGUCAUCAAAAACAAAGGAAGUCUGAGAAAUUGUCCCAGCCCAAAGGAUCCUAAAGAGACAUGGCAACUAGAUGUAAUAUGAUAUUCUGGGUGGGAUCCUAUAAUAAAAAAGGGAUAUUAGGGGAAAAGUAAUGAAAUCUGAGUAAAGUAUGGGCUUCAGUUAAUAAUAAAGUAUUAUACAAAGUAUAAUAAAGUAUAAUGUAGGUUUCUUAGCUGUGACAAAUGUACCACAGUAAUUAAUGUAAGAUGUUAACAACAGGGGAAACUGGAUAUGGGGUAUGUGGGAACUCCAUACUAUCUUUGCAACUUUUCUGUAAAUAUAAAACUAUCCUAAACUAAAGUUUAUUUAAAUAUUUUUUAAAUCGGCCAUAAAAAUAAACACUCCCCAACACACACAUGUAGAUUUGCACCCCAACACUCUCCUAAUCUCCACCAGACCACAACUCACACAUCCACACCCACACCCUACACUCUCAGGAAACCUUCCCUGGGGCCAACAAAUAUCACUUACAGAGAUUCCAGACCAUAUCAGAAGUCCAAGACCAUUUAUCAAGACUCAUGAGAAAGCUGUGAUAAUUAAGUCAGUGUAGUAUAGGUAUGAGGAUAGGUAAGUCGGCUUGUGAAACAGAACAGAGGGCACUAGAAACAGACCUGUGCACCCAGGACACGUGAUACACGACUGAGGUGGAACUUCAGCGGGGAGAGAAUGGACUUUACAACCAAGAGUGCUGAGACGACUGGAUAUCCACAUAGGAGAAACUAGGCAGCACACAUAAAAUCAGUGCCAAGUGACUUAAGGACAGACAGGAAAACAAAACUGUAAAGUUUUUAAAAGAUAAUCAACACAGUGGAAUAUCUUCAUGAUCUCGGGGGUGCAGAAAGAUUUCUUAAAUGAUUCGCCCUCCCUCGACCAUUCCCCCCAAAAAAACCAUAAAGGAAAAACUUGAUAAAUUCUCUUAGGUAGGAAUUACAGGCUUCUGAUGCUGUAAAAAUAUAAAGAGAGGACUUUCCUGGUGGUGCAGUGGUUAAGAAUCUGCCUGCCAAUGCAGGGGACACGGGUUCCAGCCCUGGUCCAGGAAGAUCCCACAUACCGCGGAGCAACUAAGCUCGUGCACCACGGCUACUGAGCCUGUGCUCUAGAGCCCACGAGCCACAACUACUGAGCCCACGUGCCACAACUACUGAAGCCUGCGCGCCUAGAGCCCGUGCUCCACAACAAGAGAGGCCACAGCAAUGAUAAGCCUGCACACUACAACGAAGAGUAGCCUCCACUCGCCGCAAAAGAGAAAACCUGCGCACAGCAACGAAGACCCAACGCAGCCAAAAAUGAAUAAAUAAAUAAAUAAAUAAAAAUUUUAAAAAUAUAUAUAAAGAGUGAAAAUACAAGACAUAAAUUUGAGAAGAUAUUUCAACACAUACCAUCAAAUUAGAUAGAUAGAUAGACAGACAGAUGAAUAAACAAGAUGAAGGUAAAUAUCCCAAGAGGAAAGGUGGCAAAGUCUUGAACAGGCUCUCCACACAAGACGAAACUUGAACGGCCAAUAAAUAAAAACAUGCCAACUUCCCUGGUAACUGGGGAAACGAAAACUGAAAUUCUUAUCAGAUCUCUCUCCACGCCCUGGCAUCUUACAGCACUAAGGGUGUUGAGUAACAGGAAGUCUCCUGCACUACCGGUGUCCUCUUUGGAAAACAUUGGCAUCACCUAGUAAAACUGAGCUUGCGCCCACCCUGUGACUCAGCAAUUAGACUCUUACACACCUGAACCUAAAGGAAUGCUAACACGUGGCACUAUGAGAUACGCAAGAAAUGUUCAAGAAGCAAUGCUCAUAAUAACAAGGCAGAAAUAACGCAAAUACCCAUCACCUGUAGGAUGGAUAGAUAAGUUGUGUUGCACUUAUCAAAUAGAACUGUGCACGGGACUUCCCUGGUGGUGCAGUGGUUAGGAAUCCACCUGCCAGUGCAGGGGACACAGGUUUGAGCCCUGGUCCGGAAAGAUCCCACAUGCCGCGGACCAACAAAGCCUGUGUGCCACAACUACUGAACCUAUGCUCUACAGCCUGAGAGGCACAAUUACUGAGCCCGCGUGCCUAAGAGCCCGUGCUCCGCAACAAGAGAAGCUACCACAAUGAGAAACCCGCGCACUGCAACGAAGAGUAGCCCCCGCUCACUGCAACUAGAGAAAGCCCGCGUGCAGCAAUGAAAACCCAACGCAGCCAAAAAUAAAUAAAUAAAUUUGUAAAUAAAAAUUAAAAAGUAAAUAAAGUGUAUUAAGACUGCCUUAAAAAAAAAAAGUGUACAGCUGUGGAAACGGACAAGGUACAGCUAACGUUUGUUGUGAUGAAAUCUCCCAGGCAUGUUGAGGUAAGAGACAAACCAUCAUAUAAUACACUCAGGGUUAUUCCAUUUACAUAAAGUUCAAAAACAGGCAAACCUAAAUCUAUUGUUUAGAUAUGCAAACAUGGGUGGCAAAGUACAAAGAAAAAAAGUGAUGGUUAUCACAAAAGUCAGAGCAGCAGUUACUUCUGGAUGGGGAGAAGGGGAUGUGAUUGAGUAGGUACAGAGCUGUUCAAAUUCAUAUUAUUCUUUAAGAUAUACGUAAGUGUUUUAUAGAUUCUUCAUUAAGAAUACUUGAUAACUGAAACAGAGCAAUUCCAGAUCCCUCUCUGGGGAGGUCAGUCUUCAGUUCCUUCCCUCCCACUUGGAUAAUAGCAGUAGAUGCAGGCUCAGCUGCUGCACAGCAUCAGAAGAAAGUAGAAACACGGGAAGGUGCAUCUCAGGGCACAAAACUCACAUUUUCACAGCGCAGACUACUCUGCUUCCUCAUCUCAAGUAAGGAAAAUGCUGGAGGUAUUAUUCAUUCAUUCAUUCAUUUACUUGUUUGUUUGUUUGUUUAUGCUGUGUCGCGUGGCUUGUGGGAUCUUAGUUCCCCGACCAGGAAUUGAACCCAGGGCCACGGCAGUGAAAGCUCUGAGUCCUAACCCCUGGAUUGCCAGGGAAGUCCCUGGGUGUGUUUUAAUACUUGCCAUGAUAUUUCCACACCUUGCACAGUCGUGGCUUUUGAUGUUCGUUGGCUUUUUUGCUUUUUAGUAUUUGGAAUAAAUUGGAUUUUUAUCAUCUAACAUCUCAAGUUCUGUUAUUUGGUUUGUAUAAUUUUAAACAAACUCUUAUACCCAUUUAUGGCCCACUGUCAAGAAUGGAAUGAGUUUUGGAGUCACACGUAAGAAGUGAAAGCAAUUCAUGUAUUCUUAGUAAAACAAUAUUUAUUUCCAAAUAUAUUUUUCAUCUACUGAAGACCUCAACUUUCUCCCCAAAACUUGAAACCACUGGUACCUGAUGAUUUCUGACUGGGUUGGCAUGUGUUUCAGGAAGCUGCACAGGGGGCACUGAGCCUGCAAUAUCCAGCUCUCACCCUGGUUUCCCACUCUAGAUGACACAGGAAAUUGCAAGAAGCCUUACUUGCUGAAGAAUCCAGAGAGGCUCCCACACCUACCGUGGUGUUGGCAGAUAGGUUCCAUUGCUUUAGCUGGUGGUGACUACAUGCAGCUCUGUGUUAAGAAGAAGCCUGAGACCACAGAGGCUCAGGAGAAGACAGAGCCAUGACUGAUGGGCAAUGGAGCCUGGGGAUGAGAGACAGAAGUUGGAGGCAGGACCUCGGGGGUUUGCCAUCCUGGCCCUGCCCACUGAGCCCAGACACUCGGCAUACUUUUAAGCCACUCACCACCCACCCAUCUUCUCCCCAUUCCUGAGGGCAGACGAUCAGGUAGAUAUUCUUGAUAUCCCCCCCCCCCUGCCAUGACACCUGUCAAAGGCCCUCCCACGCCCAUGCUUUUGUCCAUGAUCUUCCCUUCCUGGAAUUUCCUCCUACCCGACUCAUCCUGAACAGCCCAGCCUGUGACACAUUUUAUCCAUGAGCCUUUCCAAAUCACCGUCUGCAAUGACAGACUUUCCCUUUCCUGAAUCCCUUUGUCCUUCCUGCACCUUAACUUUGGAACUUUAUUAAACAUAGUCUUGUAUUACUCAUUAGAUAUUGUCCUCCCCCUGUAUAUCCCUCUUGGCUCCCCAAAUAGAAAUAAAUAGCUCUAAAAAAAUAUUUUCUUCUCUUUUCUUGUACUUCCCAUAGUACUUUGCUCCACACAGAACUACCAAAAGUUAUUUGCUAAUCGAAUAACUGAAAACUGGUAGAAUAAAUCGCCUGCCUCGUCCCCUAGCCUAGUUUCACUUCUGCCCCAGCUGCUCUGUUCUUGGAAGACGACCUCUACUCCAGGAGAAAAGCCUUGACUCAUCGGCAGCAGCCCAACCAAUCUCUCACAGUGAUUCUCUUGGAGACACCAGAAGUGUUGCUCCCUAAGGAUGUCAGGAGACCCCUAAGCUGGAACCCAUUAGAGGAAGGCCAAUGUCUACGUGAUCAAGAAAGGCAGGAAGAGUUCCUAAUCUGGAGAGGUCACAGGGGGGUUUGUGUACAGAGUCAAGAGUCCAAAAUCGGGAAAAGAAAACCAAGGAAACAGAACUGGAGCCUGCUAUGAGUUAAUCAGAGGUUUGAAGGAGAAUCGCAAAGGGAGUUAUGUCCUUGAUUCAAUAACAAGGAGAAUUUAAGAGAAAAAUCUAAGAGAGUUUUGUGUCUAACAAGAGAUCCACAUUCCACCCUUUAAACCACAACUACGGGAGCUGGAGAAGCUACAUUUGGACCCACUGAGGCCAAACCAGGGGGCGUGGGCUCAUGGGACAGUGACCCCAUGAUGUCACACUGGAAGCUGGAAGUAGCACUGGAUCAUCUCCCUUUGGGGAUGGAGUACAGAUAAGCAGACAAAGCAGAAUGUCUGCCGAGGAGAAUGCAAAACAGUGAAUUCCACCCUGAGACACGGUGUGGCUUCGGUGCCAGCGGCCAAACCAACACGUCACAGACAGCAAGCUGGACUUUUCCAGGAACCGCCCCUCUUCAAAACCACCCACCCUCCCAUUCUUGUGACUAUGGUGGGAGAAAUCAUCUGUCCCACCCACAUCCCCUCCCUUGGCCACAAAUGCUUUCUCAUGACGUGCGGCAAUCCUUUUAUGGCAAUGUAGAAACAAAGAGAGCGCCAGGCCAGGAUCUUUCUAGAAACUAAAGCUGGAACAUAUCAAAUACCAGAGCUAAAGGCACCCCUGUUUUUUUACCAUGUGGAUCCCAGUACCUUCCAAUAAACUCCCCUUUUUCCUGAAAUUAAUUUCAAUUGAGUUUCAAUCCCCUAGAGUCAAGAGUCCUAACUAAUUCCAUUCACGUUUAAAUCGUUUUCUGCUUAAAUUGUCAUCCAUUCGUUCUCCCAUGACACACAAGGCUUAGUUCACUGGAAGUCGCACCUUUAUCACAAUUCGAUGGUGUCAGGUGAGAGCAAAGGCUUUCUCUCAGCAGAGGCUGCCUCCACCCACCCAGCCCACCUCCUUCCCACGACAAAAGUUAAACCAUUCAUCUGGGAAUUCUGGACAAGCAGGCUGUUUCAGGAUUACAGGGCAGAAGGCAGAGAUCUGAACUAAGUCUGGGGAGUUUAAAGACCUGUCCAGCCCCCAGAAAAACAAACAAGUAAGUGGUGGUUAUGGCUGUUAUUAUAUACCAACCUGGUGCAAUGUGAUAGAAAGCUUCUGAAAUCCCAAACAGAGCAAUUUGGCAAAGCCCAUCUUAAGGGCUUUUGCGAGAUCUUUCCUGUUGUUCAUUACACUUUGGUUUAAUCAUGUUUGGAUUAGCAAAACCUGAAGCAUGUGUCGGUUGUCUUUACGAAAAUCAACUACUCGAAUUGCUGAGAAUUAAACUAACCAGGGCAUGGAGACAACACAAAUUCACUGUUUUCUUUUUUAUUUCAGCUUUAUUUAGUAAAAAUAGUUAGCUUAUCAGGCUAGAUAGAGCUAUCAUCACAGCUUUAGUCUAGGCAGACUGGGUCCCUACAAACCUCUCUCCUGGCAGAGGAAGUUCAACACCCAGUGUCUCUGGGGGAAGCCAGAAUGUUCACAUACGAUGCAUCUAAUUCAGAUCUUAGAACAAAACAGUGAGAUCAUAUAGACCUGGCUACAUCCUUAAGUUAAAGUCUAGAACUAAAACAAACAGGGACGCUGUGGAAAAUGUGAAGAAUUCUAACCCUCCUCACCAUAUGAAAAUGUUACUAAAAUGGUAAUAGUAGAAAUAAUGACAAAAACAACAGACAAGGUAACAAUAAACAAUAAUAA